rnacentral:tRNA from 1 species
GGAGAGAUGGCCGAGUCCGGUUGAAGGCGAUUGACUCGAAAUCAAACGGAGUACAGCGCAGCUCAUUGUAGGCGAAAGCUUACCGGGGGUUCGUCGCUUUUAGCGUCCGAAGGGCGCUCAUCCCUCUCUCUCCG